AGUAACACGUAGAUAACCUGCCCCGAUGUGGGGAAUAACUAACCGAAAGGUUAGCUAAUACCGCAUAAGUUCUCUUAUGUAAGUAGGAGAGGAAACGCUUUCGCAAGAGAGUGGCGUUGGGAGGGGUCUGCGGCGGAUUAGCUAGUUGGUGCAGUAACGGUGCACCAAGGCGACGAUCCGUAGCUGGUCUGAGAGGACGAUCAGCCACACUGGGACUGAGACACGGCCCAG
rnacentral:rRNA from 1 species